CGGGACGUAGCUCAGCUUGGUGGAGCGCUGCUUUCGGGAAGCAGAGGCCGUGGGUUCGAAUCCCACCGUCCCGA
rnacentral:tRNA from 1 species